GACGAACGCUGGCGGCGUGCUUAACACAUGCAAGUCGAACGGAAAGGCCCUGCUUUUGUGGGGUGCUCGAGUGGCGAACGGGUGAGUAACACGUGAGUAACCUGCCCUUGACUUUGGGAUAACUUCAGGAAACUGGGGCUAAUACCGGAUAGGAGCUCCUGCUGCAUGGUGGGGGUUGGAAAGUUUCGGCGGUUGGGGAUGGACUCGCGGCUUAUCAGCUUGUUGGUGGGGUAGUGGCUUACCAUGGCUUUGACGGGUAGCCGGCCUGAGAGGGUGACCGGCCACAUUGGGACUGAGAUACGGACCAGACUCCUACGGGAGGCAGCAGUGGGGAAUAUUGCACAAUGGGCGGAAGCCUGAUGCAGCAACGCCGCGUGCGGGAUGACGGCCUUCGGGUUGUAAACCGCUUUCGCCUGUGACGAAGCGUGAGUGACGGUAAUGGGUAAAGAAGCACCGGCUAACUACGUG
rnacentral:rRNA from 1 species